UACGUAGGGUGCGAGCGUUAAUCGGAAUUACUGGGCGUAAAGCGUGCGCAGGCGGUUUUGUAAGCCAGAUGUGAAAUCCCGAGGCUCAACCUCGGGUCUGCAGUCGAUACGGGCGGACUGGAGUUCGGCAGGGGAGACUGGAAUUCCUGGUGUAGCGGUGAAAUGCGCAGAUAUCAGGAGGAACACCGGUGGCGAAGGCGGGUCUCUGGGCCGAUACUGACGCUGAGGAGCGAAAGCGUGGGGAGCGGACAGG
rnacentral:rRNA from 1 species